GAUGAACGCUAGCGGCAGGCUUAACACAUGCAAGUAGAGGGGUAGAAGUUGCUCGCAACUUUGAGACCGGCGCACGGGUGCGUAACGCGUAUGCAACCUACCUUUUACAGAGGGAUAGCCCAGAGAAAUUUGGAUUAAUACCUCAUAGUCUAUAACCUUCGCAUGUUGGUUAUAUUAAAGUUCCAACGGUAAAAGAUGGGCAUGCGUCCUAUUAGCUAGUUGGUGUGGUAACGGCACACCAAGGCGACGAUAGGUAGGGGUCCUGAGAGGGCGAUCGCCCACACUUGUACUGUGACACUGACCAGCCUCCUACGGGAGGCAGCAGUGAGGAAUAUUGGACAAUGGGCGCAAGCCUGAUCCAGCCAUGCCGCGUGCAGGAAGAUGCAUCUAUGGUGUGUAAGCUGCUUUUGUACAGGAAGAAACACCCCUUCGUGAAGGGACUUGACGGUACUGUAAGAAUAAGGAUCGGCUAACUCCGUGCCAGCCGCCGCCGUAAGAC
rnacentral:rRNA from 1 species